UACAUGUGGGGCAAGCGUUGUUCGGAACCACUGGGCGUAAAGGGUGCGUAGGCGGGUCUUUAAGUCAGGGGUGAAAUCCUGGAGCUCAACUCCAGAACUGCCUUUGAUACUGAGGAUCUUGAGUUCGGGAGAGGUGAGUGGAACUGCGAGUGUAGAGGUGAAAUUCGUAGAUAUUCGCAAGAACACCAGUGGCGAAGGCGGCUCACUGGCCCGAUACUGACGCUGAGGCACGAAAGCGUGGGGAGCAAACAGGG
rnacentral:rRNA from 1 species